GGAAUUUGCGAUUAAAAUUUUGCCCAGGCUUCCCAAUAUUUCUGGUUCCGCCACUGGCUACAUCUAUAAGGUGGUUAAGUCGCUACCUUCCACAAAUCAUGUGAGCAUAUUCACUAUUGACAGUAGUCGCAUAAGAGAUAUUCCAAAUUUUCCGGUCCGUUCAUUUAUUGAUAACCAUCAAAGUUACUAUGAUAAGGUGCAUUUGAAUGGCACCUUGAACUAGCUUGCUA
rnacentral:lncRNA from 1 species